UCAAAUGAAUUGACGGGGGCCCGCACAAGCGGUGGAGCAUGUGGUUUAAUUCGAUGCAACGCGAAGAACCUUACCUGGGCUUGACAUCCCGGGAAUCCCUUGGAACAAGGGAGUGCCUUCGGGGAACCUGGAGACAGGUGCUGCAUGGCUGUCGUCAGCUCGUGUCGUGAGAUGUAGGGUUAAGUCCCGCAACGAGCGCAACCCUUGUCUUUAAUUGCCAUCAUUGAGUUGGGCACUUUAAAGAGACUGCCGGUGUUAAACCGGAGGAAGGUGGGGAUGACGUCAAGUCCUCAUGGCCCUUAUAGGUGGGGCUACACACGUCAUACAAUGGCUGGUACAGAGGGUUGCCAACCCGCGAGGGGGAGCUAAUCCCACAAAGCCGAUCGUAGUCCGGAUCGCAGUCUGCAACUCGACUGCGUGAAGUCGGAAUCGCUAGUAAUCGUGGAUCAGCAUGUCACGGUGAAUACGUUCCCGGGUCUU
rnacentral:rRNA from 1 species